UUGGGGCGUGCUCUGGCGACACUCGCUGUGUCUCCAUGAAGGAAACUUGGGUCUGGCGGUCUGUCAGGCCGCGUUUGCACCGUCGUUUUGGCUGCCUCCCGCUUCAGCACAGUCACUUUUAGGAGCUAUUUCUCGGGAAAGCCACGAGAGCCCGUUCCGAAGAUGAAGUCCCGGCAGUGCAGGGGGGUGGCGGGGCGGCUCUGGGCUUCCACACUGCGCUGCGGGCCCGCCAGCAGCUGUACUCUGCAAAAGGGCUUGAUAACAAGAUGAUGCUUGAAUACAAUACGUCCCUCAAAGGGGCCCGGCCAAAAAUCGGGGGCUGCAGGGACGUGGAGCGCUGGUGCUCCUGCAAGGAAACAAGCGGGGAGCAGCGGGAUGGGGCAGGAGCGGGCUCGGCGGGGUGAGGGCCGGAGAGGAAGAGGGAGCCGGGUCAGGGGGAGGAAAGCAGCUCCGAGGGAAGCUCCCCCCGGGAUGAGGAAGGAGAGGAAGAGGGAGCCGGGUCAGGGGGAGGAAAGCAGCUCCGAGGGGAGCUCCCUCCGGGAUGAGGAAGGAGAGGAAGAGGGAGCCGGGUCAGGGAGAGGACAGCAGCUCCGAGGAGAGCUCCCCCCGGGGUGAGGAAGGAGAGGAAGAGGGAGCCGGGCUAGGGAGAGGACAGCAGCUCCGAGGGGAGCUCCCUCCGGGGUGAGGAAGGAGAGGAAGAGGGAGCCGGGUCAGGGGGAGGAAAGCAGCUCCGAGGGAAGCUCCCCCCGCUCCCACCACACGCCAGGAGCAGACGGCACUGCAAUUUGACAUCCUGUGUUAUAACAGUGUGAUAGAUUACAUACUACAGUUAGUGAUUACUGUGUAUGAUACUGUGCUUCUUGACAAAUACUAGAGCGAAGUUUUUGUUUUAAAACACUUUCGUGGAUGAAGAGCCUCAUCUGUGGUGUGACUUGAAAGUUUCUGCUUCUCUGACGUCCCUUUGCACAUUUCAGAAGAAAACCUGAGAGAUGGAAGAGAGAACUGUCCAACUGGAAAGACAAGGCAUUUCACAGGAGAGAGGAAAAAGAAAAAAUUCCAAAGGUAGUCUCAAGAGCCAGGAGGAACCAGAGAUCUGAAGUUUCAUAUUCAUCCAAUGAUGUCCCUAUGUCUCUGAGCAAGAAGACAUGAGGAGCUGUGUGGUGCCCUGUGAUGUGGGAGUACAGAUGGAGUAAAAGACUCAUGCCUAGAAACUGUGGUAGUGGUGCAAGUGUGUCCAGCAUUUGUACAAUUGUGUCAGAUGAACAGAGUAUAGAAAACAAAGGAUAAAAUUUAAAAGGUAAGAGAUUUUAAAAGGUAAGAAAUUUACUUUAAUUUCUCCUUUGGGAAAUGAAGCUUCAUUAAAAACUGAACUAUCUGAAAAAUGCACUGCUUGUCAUGUAAUUCUAUGAUGAUAAGAAUUGAAAAGCAUUUUAACAAUGUCGGUGUGAUUAAUUUGGACUCUUUUCAGAAUAAAUUGUUUCAUGAUUGAAACUCAAACCUCUUUACUAGUUAAUUAUCUUAAGGGAAUGCAUUUCAAAUUUCCUGAAACAGCAUCUCCUCUAGAAACUAUCUUCUAAGAAACUAUAAAAAGUUGAUUUUGUUAUCAUUCAGAAUGAGCACAACUUUCAAGGAGUCAGAACUUCCCUACAAAUUCUAAUUGAAAUAAUGUUACAACAAAAGUAAUUUGAGUCUCAGUGGAUAUGAUAGGAAAAUUUAGAAAUUAAUUCCAAGGAUUAUGAAUUAGUACCUACAUGCUCCCAUCACUUCUGCACAUGUAAAAUUUUGUGGGAAAGGUAGUGCUAUGUUUUGUCUUUCUAGAAGAAAAGCCAAGUGUUCUUGAUCUCUCUCUCUUGCUGAUGUCAUAAUACUGAUGUCAGUCUACAUCUAUAUUAUUGUAAAUGCUGACCGAACCUGACUGUGUUGCCAUAUGUUUAAUGCUGGUGACCUUCAGGCCACCUCACAGAAAUGUGCUGGUGUAAAAUGCUAAAUAUGUAUACCACUGGAAUACAUUACUAGGACACACAUCAGAGCUAGGUAGUUCAUUAUUAAUCUUACAACCCUACUAGUCACUUCUGUCAUGUAUAUUGCCACCAGUCAAAACUUCUGCACCUGGAAAUCUGCUGAUUCUGGAAACUUUAGUCAUAGGUCAUGGGACAGAGUAAAACACUGGCUAGUUCUGCUGCCUAUACAGUUUUAACAAAUGAGGUUAAAGCUUUGCUUUGUUUCCAAAAUAAGCAAAUUCAAGAAAACCUAUAGAGAAGAAGGGUAUGAUUAGUUGCUGAUGAUACUUGCACAAAUUUCAGUUGUGUUAGCACAUCUCCAUUUACACUACAGCCACAGGUUUAGACAAUUACCUUUUAAUUAUCAAGAUGGUAACUUUAUUUAUUAUCACUAUAUAUCAAAUAACAGUAUUAGUGGGAACUGAGUUCUCCUUCUUAUUGGAGAUUUUCUCUCUCUUUAACUCAGUGAUCCUUUCCUUCUGCUCAUUUUGCUAAGAAUGUAAGUCACAUGAGGAAACAACAGUAUAAUGGAGAGUAUUGCCUAUGAAAUUUUCCCGAGCCAGCCAAAUUAUUUGGCAGCUGUACUGGUUUCAGUCAGACUUAUAGGUCUAAAUGCAAGUAUUUGCUUUGGUUUUGUAUUUCAGAAAUAGCAAUCAUAGAUAUCUUUGGUGCUUAUGAAGUGGGUUCUGCAAAUAAACUCUUUCUUCUCCUUUCCUCUUUUUCAUUCCCUUUUCCUUUUCCCAGGUUCCACUGACAAGAACCAUUGUUCUUGUCAAGAACCAUUCCAUUUUUCAAGAACCAUUUGAUUUUUCUAACUAGAAGAUACUAGAAGAUUAAUCUAACUAGUACUCAUUAACAGCUCCAUCUUUACCUUGAAGGAUGAAAGUGGUUCUUGAUUGGGUAAGGAAGUGAAUAUGAAGAAAGAUCAUUGCAUACAGAAGACAGGGUCUGAGGUUGGAACUGGGAGGACCUCUACACCCAGGUACAGAAAUGGCUGCAUAUGCUGGUUUGGAAAAGUUAGCUUCCAAACUAGAGGGAUGGGAUUUCAAUUCAUCAGCAAAACCCCUUGGAGUUAAAUCACUGCAUUUUUGAAAUACUGAAAAUCAGCAGAGGAUGAGUUUGGCAGCUGUAGAAACUCAAAAGAAAAGAACAAAAGAAUUUAUACUUUCUUGUUGUACAGACAAUUUUGCCAUCAAAGCAGGCAAGAGAUUUUUAUUCCUCUCUUCCCUUUGCUUUUAUGUGUAUCUUGCAGGAACUACAGUUUAUAGUCUCUCAAACUGUCCAUCAAAACUGAAAAAAACCCCCAUGGAUUGGAUGGCUUAGCAGAGGUUCUGAAAAAAACAUCAGUGGAAAGGAAUUUGAUGCACAUUUGUUGGCAUAGCAGUGAAUAUGAGCAGAACUACGCAUAGAAAUAUCUUCUGUGAGCAGGGAAACAGCAUUAAGACACUCUGUUUCCCUUAGGACUUCAUACUUACUCGGGGGCAAAAUUACAGAAGUAUUCAUUUUCUCCCUUGCUAAGGAUAUGACCAGGGUGCAGCAAUCCUCACCUUGUGGCACUCAUGUGAGACAUGUUCUUCCCAUCAUUUCUGACUGAGCAGCUCCUGAAUUCUCUCAUGUUUGUGGGCCCAAAAUUCUGAUCUCUUGUAGGCUUCAGGUGUACUUAGAAAUUAUAACCACAUUAUAAAUACAUUCUGAGUAUUCAGAGUAUUUCUCAAUAGAGAAAAGCCUACUCUUUUCUCUUUUUCUCCAUGGCUUCCCUUUCCAAUGCCCUCCAGCAGAAAGAAUAAAGCUUAAUAAUUUAUUUUUGGCAAGCAGCAAAAGGAACAUUCCAGGUGCUGAAUAACCUGAACUAAUCAGAUUAUUUUAAAUAUAAAUAGCAAGAGAAUCUAGAUAAAACACAAGCACUUCUUUUAUUGGACAGCUGUAUUUGCACUGCUCUUUCUCUUAGGCUUUCCAGCUCUAAGGAUUCCUAUUGCCUUUUCCUUCAGUCCCUGGUCCUCAAGCUGGCUGUAUAAAGCUAUACAGGCUAUACAAAGCUAUAAAUUUGCUAAAUUAUGUCUACUUAGAGUGGCUAAACUUGCUAAGAAGUAUCUGGAAAAGGGCAAAAAGUUUUCAUCAAGGUCUCACUCGUGGCUAUGUCUGCACACCAUGGCCAAAAUCUCUCUGGGUAAUGCAAUUAGAGUUGCUAAUUCCUGAGGGCUUCCCAAGAGGGAACCUGGCCUAAUUCAGGAACUGAUGGAGCUCCACCUGCAGAGCCAAGUGGGAGGGAGUCUCACCUGCUGCAGUGUGUGCACCCAUCCAACUCCCUGCCUGAAACCGGCACAGAGCUGGUCACAUGCAGGGUACUGUAACCUGUGCAAUUUGCACUUCUUUCUCUGGAGUUACUUGCAUUUUCCUUCUCCUGUGCUAAGGGAAAUCACAAUGGAUAUCUUUUCAGUCUCAGAAGAGACUCCCACUUGCACGUUGCUGGGCUGUGGGAGUUCCAUAAAGGAUUAGUAUUUGACAGGAUCUUGGGCUCAUAUUGUAUACAAUACAGAUAAAACCAACAGUUUAUUACAAAGGGCAAAGAUUAAUAACAUGCUCUCUAGGAAAAUCUGAUUGUCAUGCUGGUAUUCUGAACAUGAGAUAACGACAGACAAUAUACAUUAUUGUGGGGUCAUGAUGGCCCUAAGCAGAUUAGUUUCACUCUGAAUUUCUCCUAAAAAUACAUGGCAUCUUUAGAUUGUCUGGCUUGUACCAUUUUUAAAGGAGCCUUACUGCAUGCUGAGGAGAGCUGCCAAAGAGAUGGCCUUCAAAUAUAUCUUUUGAUUUUUGUCCAGUUGCUAAACAAAUGUUUUUCCAGAAGCUGGCCCAUGUUGGCUGCCUAAUAAAUUCUCAGGAAGUAAAAAAAGAAGAAGAAAUUUCUGUUUUAUUUUUAACCCUUCUCAUUCCUUAAUUAAAAUCUUAAUGAUGAUACAUUCCUUUUUUUUUUUUUUUUAAUUAUUAUUUUUUUGGUUAUCUAGGCUGAAAAGUGAUGUCUGAAGUAAGAAGCAGGAAUAAUCCCUUUGUGGCAGCUCCCCUGUCCUGAAGCUGCAUAAGCAGUACAGGCUCUCUUGCACAUAGUAAUUUUGGUCUCCUCUGCACUUAAACAGGAUUGUUGAGUUCAGUUCAGAAGCCUGAUGAGAUUAUUUCCUUUAUAGGGAGUUCUUCUGUCUUAAAGUCACAUUCAUUCCUUUAAUUUAGAAUUGUGUUGCUGUAGAAAUGUAUGAAAUAAAAGAUAACCACUGUGGUAGCAACUCUA